rnacentral:rRNA from 1 species
GAGUUUGAUCCUGGCUCAGGAUGAACGCUGGCGGCGUGCCUAAUACAUGCAAGUCGAGCGGUAAGGCCCCUUCGGGGGUACGCGAGCGGCGGACGGCUGAGUAACACGUAGGAACGUACCCCAAACUGAGGGAUAAGCACCAGAAAUGGUGUCUAAUACCGCAUGUGCUCUUCGGAGUAAAGCUUCGGCGGUUUGGGAACGGCCUGCGCAUGAUUAGCUUGUUGGUAAGGUAAUGGCUUACCAAGGCGAUGAUCAUUAGCUGGUCUGAGGGGAUGACCAGCCAGACUGGGACUGAGAACGGCCCAGACUCCUACGGGAGGCAGCAGUAGGGAAUCUUCCACAAUGGGCGAAAGCCUGAUGGAGCAACGCCGCGUGCAGGAUGAAUGCCUUCGGGUUGUAAACUGCUUUUAUCUGUGACGAUUAUGACGGUAGCAGAUGAAUAAGGAUCGGCUAACUCCGUGCCAGCCGCCGCCGUAA